UACAAGCACAUGAAAGCCAAGGCCCAGGCAGUUACUGCCACUGGCACUUUUUUGUGCUUCCUCCAAAGGACACUUCCCAAAAGGAGCAUGAAAACGUGGGGCAGGAGUGAACCCUCUGGUCUCUGGGUCAGGAUGGUGUCAAAUAUUUGGGGAUGCGACCCUUAAGAAGAAUCAGGGAGGCAGGUUGGAAGGAGUCAAGAGUCAGAAUCCUCAGAAACAAAGCAGAAGACAUCACCAAAAGGAAUCUGAAUCUUUGAUCCCCACUUAUUCCCAGUCUGCAGGAUCCAGGCUUACUUCGCCUACGAUGCCACAACCAAGAGAAAGGAGACUGGCUUCACUCAUUGAGCAUUCCUACACCUUCCAAGUGUCCUGUUCACUUUUCUUCUUGUUUCCCACUUGAAUAAUGGGUUCGUCCAAUUGAAGACAUCGGGAGAAGGUUUGGGGCAAAAAGAAAGAGAAUGGACUGCCAGCAUGGGUUUGAUUCCAAGACCAGCCAUCUUGGAACUUGAACACAGUUUAUAGGCAGGAAAUGGCCCAUGUAGUCCUGGAUUAUAAACCGGUGGCUUUCUUUGCCAACUCACUGGAACCUUGGGAGCCCAGUUUUAAUACUAUUUAUAACCUGCUCUGAGAUCAUGUCCCCAAAUACUAAUUGCAAAGGAUUUUAAUAUAAAGGUGCUCUUCAA